rnacentral:lncRNA from 1 species
AUUUCCAUGCAUGAAACCCUAUUGGGCGAUAAUUGGUUUGACUUUAUGACUCGUUAUCGAGUCUUAUAGUAUUUGUUCACAUGUUCUAGGGCGUGACGAUAGCUCACGACGUCUUGGUGAUCGUGGUGCAUGAAAUACCACUUUCUUGCUUGGUGAGUAUACUACUCACUUACUUGUUAUAAUGUGGCUUUGUGCUAUGUGUAUUGAUGCCUUGAAGGCUUAAUUGGUUAUUGGAAAUGAUUGAGGUGAGGGUGUACUUGACCGCCCUCACCCCUUGUGAUUCCAUGCAUAGCUAGUGCUUGCAUUACUGAAUUACUGCACUUGAUAUAUGAAAUACUGAAUUCCCUUCAUGGAAACUGAUUUGGUAUCAUUUGGGCGAAUGUCCAAUGGCUUUACUGUAUCACUGAGCUCAACCCCGUUUGGUAGUCAAUUGGAUCGAGCCGGCGAGGGCUUGGUCGUGAAAAUUGUCAUGCCACGGGGACUGUACUGUGGAAUCUUGUGGUAAUGAGACCUUUGGUUCCGGUAUACUCGAGUAUUACCAAAAUGACUGAUUGGAGUGCGGGCCCGGUUGGGGUAUGUAUGGUGGAAUGAAUGGAGUGAAGUGAGGUCUACGGUCGGGUAUUCUUAAACAUUGACGGAGGGUCAAUGAGAUUGGAUCAAGAAUGUAAGCGUGGAAAUGGGCUCUUGAGAGCCAUCCGUAUCCUUUUACCGACUUGUUUUUAAUUCUUAAUUGUGUACUCGAAAUGAAAGAUUAUGCUUAUAUGAUCCUUGUGCUUAUGUGGUAGGAACUCACUGGGCUUAAGCUCAUUCCGUUCCAUUUGUUUUCCUUACAGGAAAAUGACUAUUUUGGGAAAGGUUGUGCUAGUUGGUUGCCAAGUUGAGCAUGUAAAUGUAUUUUUGAAUAGCUCCUUGCGAGUGAAAACCCUAAGUGUUUUGUUUCCCACCAAUGGUUGGUUUGUAAUUGGCUAUUUGCACAUGUAUGGACUAGUUGAAUAUUUUGGUAUGCCGUUUGGCUUGUAAACGUUGUAUUUCAAUGUACAUAUGUUUGGAUGAUGUUUGGUUGAUGUUUGGUUGAAUUUCGGAUCAACUUGUAUUUCAAACGGCAAAAGAAAAUUUUGGCUACUCUCGGCCUAGUAUCUGGAUUCUGACGUGUCCAACACUGUUCAUCUUCGGCUUUGAAUUUCAUUUUUAUUUAUUUUGUGAUUUUGACAUAUUUGCGCACGUUGGUAUGUUCCGGAACGUAAUAGAUCGACGUAAACUGAUCCGUUAGUCCUGGCGAGAGCUGGGCAGGCAGUCCGCUAACCCCUUUGGUUCGCCUUAGGGGAAAGUGGGGCUGUUACAUCAGCAAACUCUUGAAAUAGCGGAAGCUAAUUUGAAAAAAGCUGAAGGAAAGAGACAAACAAUUGAAGCAAAUCUAGCUCUCCGGUGAGCUAGGACACGGGUAGAGGCUAUCAAUGCGGUUUGAUUUCAUAACUAGUUGAUACGUUCGAAUAAUCCUGUUUCAAAUUCUAUUUGAAUUUGAUUCUGUCGAGUGAAUAGAAUCAAAUAAAUCAAGCAAAAUCCAAUUUUGAUGUAAAUAAAAGAAAUUCAAAAAUGAAAUAGCAAAAGAUACAAAAUCAAUAAAUGAUAAAAAGGGGGUGGGUCAAAAAAACUUAUUAGAUACCAUAAACUCCGGUAUGCUAAAUAAGUUCUACCUACUAUUGGAUUUGAACCAAUGACUCUCGCCGUAUGAAAGCAAUACUCUAACCACUGAGUUAAGUAGGUCAUUUAUCAUUCCAAAGAUAACAAAAUGGAACCCAUUCCGUCGAUGUGGAUUAUAAAUAUCAUAUUGCUUAUAAGCAAUACCGCUCAAAGAGAUCAAAGAUUUAUGAUAUUUUAUCAGGGAAUAUUCAUUCAUCUUGACAAGAAAUUAUCUACAUGAUAAAAUAUGUAUCACAAGCAAUAAGGGCUAUAGCUCAGUUGGUAGAGCACCUCGUUUACACGCGCGCCAAUGUUUUUCAAGGUAAUCCAUGAUACAAUCAAAUCAAAAAAUUGUGAUCUUAAUUGAGAAAUCGAUGUCUUACCCCAUAACUUUGAGGGAACAAUAGCCUGACAAAGGGUUCGGUUCGAUUGGGGUGCCCAUUUAGGUUAGGCACAAGGCGAUAAAGAAAAGAAACAAAAACCCCACUUAAACUUUCUAAUAAAAUAAACUAGGGUUUUCAACCUUAACCGAGGUUAGGGUUUUACUCCUUAGCCUUAAAACCCGAAUUCCAUCCCACCAAUUACCGAAUAACCCUCAUAUCAGCUUACGAACGGACUGGGGCCUCACAAUCUCCCCCACUUAGGACAAUUUCGUCCUCGAAAUUCAAUCCGUGGUCAAAGCGUACCUUCGAAACCUGCCGUAAAGGAUACACGAAAGCACAAAACACAAAACAGAUACACGAAAGGCACGCAAAGGAUAGGUACAAUACAAAGUCACACCAAAAGAUAUACAAAUUACCCGACCUCCAGUCGGGUCAAAACCCAAUAUACACACGAGCACUCCGGCUCCAAAAAUCUAGUCAACCAACCAGAUAACAAAAGAAAUUAGCCAGGCCAGUUCUAACAAAAGUAAUCUGCCAGCUAAUCAAAAUACGAAAGCGACCCUAAACGCCUCCCCUAGGGCCCCGGUUCCCUACGGAACCUAAAGUACCUAUCUCACCUAUCUGCUCUGGCCCGGUAGCUCGUGGGGUGCCUCCGCGGCCAUAUCUAGUAAGACCCACAAUCAAACGUGAUACUCCGGGCCCUCUCCCUGAGCUGCCUCUUCAUAGCGAAGAGGUGCUGGUGUGUGUCUCGGAGAUCCCGCUCCAGGUCUCUAACGCGCAACGCCUGCCAGCGGCUAAACUCUCUAGCCUCCGCCAGCUGCGCCGCAAAGUCUCGACCGUCUGGUCUAGGUGAUAACACUCAUCAUCCAACGCUAAGACAACCUCGUCAGGACACCUUAGCUUCCUUGAACACUUCCAGAAAAUCACUUACUAGCACCAAAUGGAAGGAUUUUAUGGAGUAGAAACAAAUUUCAGCAAUUGGUUUGGAUGAUUUGCACUAGAUGCUAGCUAAAAGUUUGAAGAGGUUUCUUCCUUCUUGAGCUCAAGGUGGCCGGCCAACAUAGAGAAAGAAAUGGUGAUUUUUUUGUGGUAAUUUUGUGAUAUUUAAUCAAAUGGUAAAGAAAGGUCAAAAGGUGAAUAGUUGUCUUAGGCUUCAACCAAUGGAAGAGUGACACUUGUCAUUCCAUUCAAUGCAUUCAUAUCCCUUUCUUUUCCUCUCACAUCAAUCACUUCACCUCCUCUACUUAUCUCUUAACACCCGAUAAAUUUCACUCAGUAUCCGGAACUUAACCUUAUUGGCCGAAUUUUUCCGAACUUUUCGCACUAGUGGGUCCCACGUCCGUUAUAUAUCCUUAAUUUUUCAAAAACUACCCAAUGCUAGAAAAAUCAUCUAAAAACUAUAAUAAACGCAUAAAAUCCACCAAGAAAAUUUUCCUAAGCCAGAAAAUGCAGAAAACAUGCAAUUAAAGGGGAAAAACCCUAGGAAAAUUAUUAGGGAAAAUACGGGUUCUCACAGCCAUGGUCAAUCUUUUCUUUAACUCACGAAAACUCGCUUCACACCGAGCAUCCCACACGAAUCGACCAUGUUUUUUCGAUAGGUUAGUUAAAGGACCGGCCAAUUUGAAAAAAUCUUUAAUGAAACGCCUGUAGUACCCAGCCAACCCUAGAAAACUAUGAAUCUCCAUGGAAUUUUCUGGCCUCUUCCAAUUAGUCAUGGCCUCUACUUUCGCCGCUCAACCGAGAUACCCCUUGGGAAAUUACGUGCCCUAAGAAAGAAAUUCUUUCAGCCAAAACUCGAACUUACUAAAUUUGGCAUACAACUGAUGCUCACUUAGGGUUUGUAAAAUAAUUCUUAGGUGCUGUUCAUGCUCUCACAAGUCUUGGAGUAGACCAAGAUAUCGUCAAUAAAGACAACGACAAAUCGAUCCAGGUAGGGUUUAAAAAUUCUAUGCAUUAGAUCCAUGAAGGCGGUAGGGCAUUGGUUAGUCCGAAGGGCAUGACUGCGAAUUCGUAGUGCCCAUAUCUCGAAUUGAAGCAGUUUUCGGGAUAUCUUCUUUCCUAAUCAAUAAUUGGUAAUACCCCUGUCGAAAUCUCAUGAACUAAUUUAUAGUAGAAAAAUAAUUUAAAAACCAUAUUUACUCAUAAAAAUUAUCCAGAAAAUUUUUCUAACAAAGAAACCAUAGAAUUAGUGUGCAAUUAAAUAAAAUAAAACUUAGAAAAUAAGAAAAUUACGGGUUCUCACACUCUCUCUCCCCUUAAAAGAAUUUCGCCCUCGAAAUUUCUCAUCUUGAUUUUCAAACAGUUCAGGGCAUUUCUUUUUCAUUUCUUCUUCCACCUCCCAGGUAACCUCCUCAAUUCCGCGAUUUCUCCACAAAAUCUUCACCAAAGGUAUUCGUUUAUUUCUCAACUCUUUAACCUUUCGGUCAAGCAACUGUACUGGCUUCUCUUCGUAGGUGAGGGAUUCAUCUAUCUCGACUUCCUCUGGCUGUAAGAUGUGAGACGUAUCAGGAUAAUACUUUUUAAGCAUCGAGACGUGGAAGACGUUGUGAAUUCUGGAUAGACUUGACAGUAGUUUAUGUCGAUACGCUACUUUACCAACUCUUUGGAGAAUCUUGAAAGGUCUGACGAAUCUCGUUGAAGUUUUUUCCUCUACCCGCCGUGACACUUCGUAAUGGUGUGACUUUAAGGAAAACACUGUCCCCAACUUCGAACUCCAGAUCUUUUCUUCGAUUGUCCGCGUAGCUCUUCUUUCGGUUUUGAGCUAUUUGGAGACUUUGUCGUAUCAACUUGACUCUUUCUCGAGCAUUCUCCAUCCAUGGAAUAGUGGUUGGAUCUAGCACCUUUCUCUCACCGAUUUCGUCCCAAUAGAUCGGUGACCGGCACUUCCUCCGUAUAGCGCUUCGUAGAGUGCAAUUUGAAUUGACGAAUGGUAACUGUUAUUGUAAGCAAACUCUAAUAAGGUCAUAUGUUGACCCUAAUUACCUCCAAAAUCCAGAACACAGGUCCUUAACAUAUUCUCGAGAGUUUGAAUUGUUCACUCCGACUGUCCAUCCGUCUGAGGGUGAUAGGUGGUGCUUAAGUUAAGCUUAGUCCCAAAGUCUCUUAACAUUUCUGCCAAAAUCUAGAUACAAAGCGGGAUCUCUAUCCGAAACGAUGCUCACAGUAACUCCAUGUAAUCUUACGAUCUCAUCCACGUACACCUGGGUCAUUUUGUCCAUGAAAUACUUCAUGCUUACCGGCAAGAAAUGGGCCGAUUUGGUUAACCGGUCGACGAUCACCCAUCAUGCCCUCGUUGUGUUCGCGGCAAACCUGAAACGAAAUUCAUUGUGAUUUUUCCCACUUCCAUUCGGGUAUCUCAAGAGGUUGUAACAAGUCCGAUGGUUUUUGAUGCUCUGCAUUAACUUGUUGGCAAAUGAGACAUUUUUGUACGUAUUGAGCAAUUUCCUUCUUCAUGUUGUCCCACCAAUAGGCUCCUUUUAGGUCUUGGUGCAUCUUGCUACUACCCGAAUGGAUCGUAUACUUAGAUCGAUGAGUUUCCUCUAAGAUCUCCUUCUUAACGUUUCAUCUUUGGGAACCAUCAUUCAGUUUCGAUAUUUCAAGACUCCCUCGGGACUGAAAUUAAAAUCUGACAAUUCCCCUUUUUCCUCUUUCUCUCCCCAUUUCCGCACCAUCGAAUCCUUCUUUUGAACUUCUUUAACUCGCUCCAGUAGUGCGGAUGUUAUUUUAACAUUACCAAAAACCACCUUAUGACUCCCAAGGCAGGGCUUCCACUCACAAACAGAUUCCAACAGAUCCCACUCCUUAAUCAUUAACCCCGCUACUUGAGCCUUUCGGCUUAAGUCAUCCGCCACCACAUUAGCUUUUCCCGGAUGAUGGUUGAUAGUGCAGUCAUAGUCCUCCAGAAAUUUCAUCCAUCGUCGCUGCCUUAUGUUCAAUUCCUUUUGCGAGAAGAGGUAUCUAAGACUCUUGUGGUUUGAAUAAACCUCGAAGGUCACCCCGUAUAGAUAAUGUCUCCAUUUUUUCAGAGCAAAAACAACCGCGGCUAACUCUAGAUCAUGGGUGGGAUAGUUCUACUCGUGGGGUUUCAACUUCCUAGAGGCAAAAGUUAUUACAUUCCGAUUUUGCAUUAAACACGCACCGCCCCAGACCUUCCCGUGACGCGUCGGUAUGAACGGUAAACCCGUCUACUCCGUUAGGCAAAGCUAGAAUCGGUGCCAUGGUCAAUCUUUUCUUUAACUCACGAAAACUCGCUUCACACCGAGCAUCCCACGAACCGACCAUGUUUUUUCGAUAGGUCAGUUAAAGGACCGGCCAAUUUGAAAAAAUCUUUAAUGAAAUGCCUGUAGUACCCAACCAACCUAGAAAACUAUGAAUCUCCAUGGAAUUUUCUGGUCCUUCCAAUUAGUCAUGGCCUCUACUUUCGCCGGGUCAACCGAGAUACCCUCUUGGGAAAUUACGUCCCUAAGAAAGAAAUUCUUUUCAGCCAAAACUCGAACUUACUAAAUUUGGCAUACAACUGAUGCUCACUUAGGGUUUGUAAAAUAAUUCUUAGGUGCUGUUCAUGCUCCUCACAAGUCUUGGAGUAGACCAAGAUAUCGUCAAUAAAGACAACGACAAAUCGAUCCAGGUAGGGUUUAAAAAUCUAUGCAUUAGAUCCAUGAAGGCGGUAGGGGCAUUGGUUAGUCCGAAGGGCAUGACUGCGAAUUCGUAGUGCCCAUAUCUCGAAUUGAAAGCAGUUUUCGGGAUAUCUUCUUUCCUAAUCAAUAAUUGGUAAUACCCCUGUCGAAAAUCUCAUGAACUAAUUUAUACUAGAAAAAUAAUUUAAAAACCAUAUUUACUCAUAAAAAUUAUCCAGAAAAUUUUUCUAACAAAGAAACCAUAGAAUUAGUGUGCAAUUAAAUAAAAUAAAACUUAGAAAAUAAGAAAAUUACGGGUUCUCACACUCUCUCUCCCCUUAAAAGAAUUUCGCCCUCGAAAUUUCUCAUCUUGAUUUUCAAACAGUUCAGGGCAUUUCUUUUCAUUUCUUCUUCCACCUCCCAGGUAACCUCCUCAAUUCCGGAUUUCUCCACAAAAUCUUCACCAAAGGUAUUCGUUUAUUUCUCAACUCUUUAACCUUUCGGUCAGCAACUGUACUGGCUUCUCUUCGUAGGUGAGGGAUUCAUCUAUCUCGACUUCCUCUGGCUGUAAGAUGUGAGACGUAUCAGGAUAAUACUUUUAAGCAUCGAGACGUGGAAGACGUUGUGAAUUCUGGAUAGACUUGACGGUAGUUUAAGUCGAUACGCUACUUUACCAACUCUUUGGAGAAUCUUGAAAGGUCUGAUGAAUCUCGGUUGAAGUUUUUUUCCUCUACCCGCCGUGACACUCGUAAUGGUGUGACCUUAAGGAAAACACAGUCCCCAACUUCGAACUCCAGAUCUUUUCUUCGAUUGUCCGCGUA